GUUGGACACGACUGAGCGACUUAACUAAUUGUAGUCAGCAAUUUAUUUACUAUUUCUUAUUUUGUUACUUGUAUUAGCCUCCUCACAGAGAACUCAAGAUGCUACAAGUUGUCACAAGGUUUUGUUCUCAUUUCACUCUAGCUCAUAAAUUUUAGCAUUGAGAAAAACAAAUAGCUAAGCUAAAAUGAUGGAAAAUAAAGGUAUGGCUCACAGCCCUCCCCACUGAAAACAGAUAAUACUUUUGAAUGAAAAUAGGCUGCAGCGCUCUUCCAACUAAAUCACGAAGGAAAGGGGUUUUAUAGAUAAUAGUGAUGGAAAAGAUCAAUUUCAAUGUGCCUGGUGGGUAUAAAAAGCUAUUGAAAUACACUAUCUGCUUGCUUCCUGCUCAGAUACAAAAGAACAUUUCAUCUCCUGCAAAACCAGACACUCUCUCUUGUUAUCAGCUACAAACAUUCUCUUGAGGAUUCCUAUUCAGAGGCAGACUGUUGGUAAAACCAACAGCUUUAAUAUUCAAGACCGAACAAUGAUAUGGGAGCAUCAUGUGAGAGGCAGGAGGGGACCCAGGGCCUCGUCCUCCUUCAGUGGACCAAGUGUGGAGCCAAUCAGCUUCUAGUCACAAAGGCUCAGUCAGGACUUCUUCAUCCCCUCGUAGGUUAGGUGGCUUCAGAGCAAAGAAAAACUGCUCCACACUACACACUGUGUAGCAUACUUAUGUGUGAUUGGUUACAAGAACCAAAUGACUUUUUAAAACCCUUCUGUGUUAUAUGAAAAAAAAAAACAAAAACAAACCCAUCUCCCAGCACAUCUCUGCUUCACAGCUCAGCCUCUGAGAUCUGAGUAGCACAUGCUCACAAUCUUCCGUAGGGAAACUGCUGAAUUCACCAGGCAGGUACUUCUCCAAUGCUGAUAAGUUCUGAUGGAGUUCCUUAAGGAACCUCCACCUACCCACCACUCUUCUUUUGGCUCCACCUGCUUCACUCCAUCCCUGCCCACCUGUUCCUCACCUAGGUUGGUGCUGCUGCUGUUUAUCUCAUUUUGACUGAUUCAGGCAGCUUCUUUUAGCGCCUGUGUCUCCCAGCUCACUAUACUUUUGUUACUGCAGCCUAAGAUCAAAGGAGCCCUUUCUGUCAGCCACUUUGUACCCUGGAGGCUUUCGGGACAUGCUCUUGGUUAAAAGACCCAAGGCUUUUUCAUCGGGAGCCGUGUGGUCUCCCUAUACUGGGCCAGUCAUAGUGUUUGAUGACCCAUAUUGCAGACACUUUGACACAGUUUUUUAAAUGUUCUUGUUUCAUUUAGUCUAUCUUUCUGGCCUGUUGAAAUCUUUCUGAUCUCCAAUUCCGCCAUUAAGCGCAUUUUCUAUACGUCCUGCUUCACAUUAUCCAAAAAAUAGGAUAAAUGUGCCUUCUGUCUCAUCAUUAAAAUCACUGCCUAAGGCAAAGUUCAAUGAAUGGAGAGAGGGAGGAGUCUGCAGAAGUUAAGUAAACCAAAGUAUUCUGUGUCAUUUUCUCUAGCUGUGAGCUUCCCAGGUGGCACAUGGUAAAGAAUCCACCGGCUAAUGCAGGAGAUCCUGGAUCGGGUAGAUCUUCUGGAGAAGGAAAUGGCAAUCCACUCCAGUAUUCUUGCCUGGAAAAUUCAGAGGAGCCUGGUGGGCUGCAGUCCAUGGGGUCGCAGAGUCAGAUAAGACUGAGCACUCAUGCAGGCAUCUUCAGCUGCAUCUUCACCAUGGGAGGCUGCGUGUUAGCUUUUAACCAUUUACCAUGUUAUUAUUCAGGAAUGGUCCUUGCAAGAGGUAAUAAAACAGACUCCUCCCAGAUGUCCUUCUCAUACGUGUCAGCAGCAGCAGAAGUCAAGGAGUCACUCUCUACCCUGGACCGUGGGACCAUCUGAACCAAAAGUCAGCCAGAAGGCAGGAGAGUGGCCCUGGAACUUCCAAAGAUGCAAAAUCUAGCAAAGCUGGCAUCAGAUGCAAAAUAAAACAGGCUUUCUUGGCAAGCAUCCUAGGCAAUUUAGGAACAGAAAGACAAUACUGUAAGACAAUUGGCCGAUUUUUUUCUAGAACACGUGAAGAAGCUGCAAAGGUUGGAAAAAGAAAGAUUCCAGAAGACUGAAGAAGAUAAAACAUGGAAUCAUAAAAUUUCAAAGUACAAAUGAACCUCAGAGAAGAUCAUGUCCACACACUUGAUCUCUCUUUAAGGAAACAGGCAGAGAGGUGAUGAGCUUUGCCUACAGUGAACCUGAAUCUGCAGGACCUCCUUGGGCUUAUGGAUUAGACUCCACCCCCGGCUUCUUCCCUAGUCCCCAGCCCUUCUGGUCUCUUAAUACCAAGUCUAUUAGAUGGAAGGUGAGUGCUGGUCCCUAAAGACCCACUGCUCCAUCCCCUGGAUGAGCAUGAGAUGAUCUGAUGAAUCAGCUGAUGCUAGGAAGGACCUGCCUGCAGGUCAGCUCAGAUCUGUCAGGUCAACGUCACCACCUUUGGGCAGAUGGCCACCUGCACUCAGAAAGCAAUCUAAAACAGAAAGCCCAGCACUUCUGCUAGUCUAGGGCAAUGGGCAGCUCCUGGGGCAAGCCUGCCAGGGGUGCUCUGCCUCUGCCUGGACCCAUGACCUUGAGCAAAACCACUUAACCUCCUUGGGCCCCAGUCCCUUAUCCUGGGAUGUCAGCAGGGCUGAUGAUAUAAUGGGGUUGUCAUGAUGACUAAAAGAGAAAUCCUUUUAAGCACUUAUAAUAGUGCCUAGACCAAAAUAAACACUAAGU